rnacentral:tRNA from 1 species
GGGGAUUUGGCUCAGUGGUAGAGCACUUGCCUAGCAAGCACAAAGCCCUGGGUUCGGUCCCCAGCUCCG